GGAGAAGAAGAAAAUAAUGGAAAAUACUGCUUAAAUUCUUCUAAUUUUGUUCUUACCAUCUCUCCUCUAAUAGCUUGUUCUUCUCCUUCUUCUCCCCAACCCUGCCUUAAACUCUCUCCAAAAAAGAGAGAAGAAAACCAGAGAGAGCCCCAGAAGA
rnacentral:ribozyme from 13 species